rnacentral:rRNA from 1 species
GACGAACGCUGGCGGCGUGCUUAACACAUGCAAGUCGAACAGAAAGGCCCUGCUUUUGUGGGGUGCUCGAGUGGCGAACGGGUGAGUAACACGUGAGUAACCUGCCCUUGACUUUGGGAUAACUUCAGGAAACUGGGGCUAAUACCGGAUAGGAGCUCCUGCUGCAUGGAGGGGGUUGGAAAGUUUCGGCGGUUGGGGAUGGACUCGCGGCUUAUCAGCUUGUUGGUGGGGUAGUGGCUUACCAAGGCUUUGACGGGUAGCCGGCCUGAGAGGGUGACCGGCCACAUUGGGACUGAGAUACGGCCCAGACUCCUACGGGAGGCAGCAGUGGGGAAUAUUGCACAAUGGGCGGAAGCCUGAUGCAGCAACGCCGCGUGCGGGAUGACGGCCUUCGGGUUGUAAACCGCUUUCGCCUGUGACGAAGCGUGAGUGACGGUAAUGGGUAAAGAAGCACCGGCUAACUACGUG